AUUGAACGCUGGCGGCAGGCCUAACACAUGCAAGUCGAGCGUGCGGCGGACGGGUGAGUAAUGUCUGGGAAACUGCCUGAUGGAGGGGGAUAACUACUGGAAACGGUAGCUAAUACCGCAUCCCAUCAGAUGUGCCCAGAUGGGAUUAGUUAGUGGGUGGGGUAAUGGCUCACCUAGGCGACGUACCCUAGCUGGUCUGCGAGGAUGACCAGCCAAACUGGAACUGGGACACGGUCCAGACUCUUACGGGAGGCAGCAGUGGGGAAUAUUGCACAAUGGGCGCAGGCCUGAUGCAGCAAUGCCGCGGGUGUGAAGAGGGCCUUCGGGUUUUAAAGCACUUUCAGCGGGGAGGCGUUACCCGCAGAGAAAGCACCGGCUAACUCCGUGCCAGCAGCCGCGGUAAUAC
rnacentral:rRNA from 1 species